UACAGAGGUCUCAAGCGUUGUUCGGAUUCAUUGGGCGUAAAGGGUGCGUAGGCGGCGCGGUAAGUCGGGUGUGAAAUCUCGGAGCUUAACUCCGAAACUGCAUUCGAUACUGCCGUGCUUGAGGACUGGAGAGGAGACUGGAAUUUACGGUGUAGCAGUGAAAUGCGUAGAGAUCGUAAGGAAGACCAGUGGCGAAGGCGGGGUCUCUGGACAGUUCCUGACGCUGAGGCACGAAGGCCAGGGGAGCAAACGGG
rnacentral:rRNA from 1 species